UUGCAGCUGAGCCAAACAUAUUUUAGGUGAUGAAUUUACAUUUUUACUACUAUGAAACUUUGAAUGUAGGUCUUCCUACCACUUGCUCAUCUCUGUGUAAAAGGGAGAGAGGUCUCCAGUGUCUGUAACUUCUUAUAAGGCAAGUGAAAGGUGCUCUUUCCCUACUUGUUAGCAAAGAAUCAUAUAGAUGUGAGUGAGUCAUCUCAAUAUGGUGUGUGUGUGUUUCUGUGCUCCCCAGACAUUGAAAGCCAUAUCACGCAUA